UACGUAGGGUCCGAGCGUUGUCCGGAAUUAUUGGGCGUAAAGGGCUCGUAGGCGGUCUGUUGCGUCGGGAGUGAAAACUUACAGCUUAACUGUGAGCGUGCUUCCGAUACGGGCAGACUUGAGGUAUUCAGGGGAGAACGGAAGUUCCUGGUGUAGCGGUGAAAUGCGCAGAUAUCAGGAGGAACACCGGUGGCGAAGGCGGUUCUCUGGGAAUAUCCUGACGCUGAGGAGCGAAAGUGUGGGGAGCGAACAGG
rnacentral:rRNA from 1 species